AGUGAACGCUGGCGGCAGGCCUAACACAUGCAAGUCGAACGGCAGCACAGCAGUAGCAAUACUGUGGGUGGCGAGUGGCGGACGGGUGAGGAAUACAUCGGAAUCUACCUUGUCGUGGGGGAUAACGUAGGGAAACUUACGCUAAUACCGCAUACGAACUAUGGUUGAAAGCGGCGGACCGCAAGGCGUCGCGCGAUUGGAUGAGCCGAUGUCCGAUUAGCUAGUUGGCGGGGUAAAGGCCCACCAAGGCGACGAUCGGUAGCUGGUCUGAGAGGAUGAUCAGCCACACUGGAACUGAGACACGGUCCAGACUCCUACGGGAGGCAGCAGUGGGGAAUAUUGGACAAUGGGGGCAACCCUGAUCCAGCCAUGCCGCGUGUGUGAAGAAGGCCUUCGGGUUGUAAAGCACUUUUGUUCGGGAAGAAAAGCCGCCGGUUAAUACCUGGUGGUCAUGACGGUACCGAAAGAAUAAGCACCGGCUAACUUCGUGC
rnacentral:rRNA from 1 species